GAAUUGGUCUCAGAAACUGGAGGUGGAGAGACGGAUGUUUUAAGAGACGUUAUAGGAGACCCUGCAGGAGAAAUGAUGAAACAGAUAAGCUUUCACACCAGAAGUUUCCACUGUAGGACGAGUUACGAUCCAGAAGACACAAACUGUCAAUCAUCACAAAGUCUUCAGCUGCUCCACAGUCCUCAGUGAGUCCUCCUCUGGUCCUCCUCACCGUCCAUCCGUCAACUUCCUGUCCAUCGUCAUCAUCAACGCAGCCCAAAGACACGGAUGUGGGUCCACUGAAGAACUGCUGAAAGUUAGGACUGGCAGACAGAUAGACUGGAGGACAGAAAGAGGAAAUUGUUAGAACAAAGGUCGCCAGCGACACA